GGUCAAGCCGGCAGUCUAUCUGUGGUAUAGCAGCCGCACACACCUUGUUGGAGUGAAACCUGUGGAUUUAUUCCCUGUGAGCGCCAGAGAUUGUUGGACCGUUCACCCUCACGUUCACCCUCACGUUCACUCUUACGUUCACCACAUGGGACAAGUAAACACACAGAAGAAUGAACGAGUGUCAAUAACGAGGCGUAAUAAUAUACCAAGAAGAAAUACCCUUGUCUAACGACCCUCAGUGGCUGUUACAGUGAAGUCUAAGCCAAUCCAAGCCAAACACAAGAUUAUAAGGACAGUCCCGCCACCAGGAUAUGUCAUCUGACGUCAGUGGCUGCGGGUGUUGGCUAUGCCGGGCUGUGUGUGGAAGGGUAAAGGUCUCGCCGUCCGGUAAAGGUGCUGAGAUUCCUGAUUUUUAAAGACCGGGCCUCAUUAUGGUCUCCUAACAUAACUACCCAUAAAAAGAAAGAAAAGGAUAGGAGUAAUGAAGUCAAUCGGAGCCUCACACUAUGAUCAAGCUACCGGAGAAGGUCGAGGCGUGGGUAAGCGGGCACAGGACACAGUGUGGGCGAGUCAGGCUGACCAAAGACCUAGUGGGUGGAAUGAACUCGUGGCUAACACCGGGACGCCAUGACUCACAAGCAGCACGGUGGUGGGGAAAGGGAAGGAAGGGGGAGGAAUGGAGACGGCCGCCACGCCUCUACACGAGUCCUCAUGAAUCAUACAAACUAAGAGGCACCUUAUUUGAAGAAGCUACUGCCUACCCCCCCCUCCCUCUAGUGCCUGUCUCCUCUCUCCUAAAUCUUCCUUCCUCCUGCAUGACCACCACCACCACCACCACGAUAACCACCAGUAAUCAGCUAACGAUCAACUAGGCGUUCAGUCAUUAUUAUGAGAGUCUUGUCCUUUCUUCCACCUACACACGACUUGAUAAUGACCAUCAAUAAUACAAAUACAGAACUUAACACGUAAGGUACACUUUAUAUUA